AGAGUUUGAUCCUGGCUCAGGACGAACGCUGGCGGCGUGCCUAAUACAUGCAAGUAGAACGCUGAAGAGAGGAGCUUGCUCUUCUUGGAUGAGUUGCGAACGGGUGAGUAACGCGUAGGUAACCUGCCUUGUAGCGGGGGAUAACUAUUGGAAACGAUAGCUAAUACCGCAUAACAAUGGAUGACACAUGUCAUUUAUUUGAAAGGGGCAAUUGCUCCACUACAAGAUGGACCUGCGUUGUAUUAGCUAGUAGGUGAGGUAACGGCUCACCUAGGCGACGAUACAUAGCCGACCUGAGAGGGUGAUCGGCCACACUGGGACUGAGACACGGCCCAGACUCCUACGGGAGGCAGCAGUAGGGAAUCUUCGGCAAUGGGGGCAACCCUGACCGAGCAACGCCGCGUGAGUGAAGAAGGUUUUCGGAUCGUAAAGCUCUGUUGUAAGUCAAGAACGAGUGUGAGAGUGGAAAAUUCACACUGUGACGGUAGCUUACCAGAAAGGGACGGCUAACUACGUGCCAGCAGCCGCGGUAAUACGUAGGUCCCGAGCGUUGUCCGGAUUUAUUGGGCGUAAAGCGAGCGCAGGCGGUUUGAUAAGUCUGAAGUUAAAGGCUGUGGCUCAACCAUAGUUCGCUUUGGAAACUGUCAAACUUGAGUGCAGAAGGGGAGAGUGGAAUUCCAUGUGUAGCGGUGAAAUGCGUAGAUAUAUGGAGGAACACCGGUGGCGAAAGCGGCUCUCUGGUCUGUAACUGACGCUGAGGCUCGAAAGCGUGGGGAGCGAACAGGAUUAGAUACCCUGGUAGUCCACGCC
rnacentral:rRNA from 1 species